rnacentral:tRNA from 1 species
GCAAUUUUAGUUUAAAAAAAAUAGUGUCUUGUCUCGUCACAGAUGAUCUUUUGAUUAGGUUGCU